CCCAAUGCUUUUCGGGCCUUGGUGGUUCUGAUGGACCAAUUACUGAGGAGUGCUCCUCGGCUCACAGCUUCUAUAGAAGGGCCUUCCUCCCCUUUCUCCUCGAAAAUGACAUAACACUACAUAUUGUCAUCUUCCAAGAACAGGUUCCUCAUUGCCGCCAAUACUUCCUCCUCUUUUGACCCAUAUAUGGAAUAUGUUGACUGUAGGUUUCUCCGUCUAUUUUCCUUAUUCCUCCAAUCACCGGGAUGUUCUAGGGAUUGUAUAUGGGAUUGCUACCAUCGUUAUGAAUAAUCACCUCUUUGUGAUUCUACUCGAACUUUACUGCUUGGUGCAGUGUUGAUGUUACAGCUCCAACAGCGUGAUUCCAGGGUCGUCAUUAAAUUGUAAGACGUUGGGACGUCUAUCACUUGAAAGUCAAUGUCGAACCAAGUCGGUCCCAUUUGCAGCCAUAAACUGAUUUUCCCGAUAGUGGGCCUUUGAAUCCAUCGAAAGCUUUGACAUUGAUGGCCCCAUCUUUGAUCUCAUGCAGGCUCUUACCCAAUGUUCUGAGAGUUACCAAUGGACAAAUAUUG
rnacentral:lncRNA from 1 species